CCAAUAGCGUAUAUUAAAGUUGUUGCAGUUAAAAAGCUCGUAGUUGAAUUUCGGGAUCAGUACGUUGGUCAUGCCUUGGUAUGUACUGGUGUAACUGAUUCCUCCCUUCUGACGAACCGUCAUGCCAUUAAUUUGGUGUGGCGGGAAAUCAGGACUGUUACUUUGAAAAAAUUAGAGUGUUUAAAGCAGGAUCGCGCUUGAAUACAUUAGCAUGGAAUAAUGAAAUAGGACGUUAAUCCUAUUUUGUUGGUUUCUAGGAUCGACGUAAUGAUUAAUAGGGAUAGUUGGGGGCAUUAGUAUUCAAUUGUCAGAGGUGAAAUUCUUGGAUUUAUUGAAGACUAACUACUGCGAAAGCAUUUGCCAAGGAUGUUUUCAUUAAUCAAGAACAAAAGUUAGGGGAUCGAAGACGAUCAGAUACCGUCGUAGUCUUAACCAUAAACUAUGCCGACUAGGGAUCGGAUGAUGUUAAUUUUUUAAUGACUCAUUCGGCGCCUUACG
rnacentral:rRNA from 1 species